GCAGAAGUUUGUGCAGCUUCAACUCCAGAACUCAUACGACUACAUUGUUCCAAACUGGGUUAUGAUUUUCCAACGGGCAUUCAAUUGGCAGUUGAUGAAAUUAGCUAAGGAGACAUCUUUCUCAGUGUAUAUCCUGAUAAAGCAUGAUUUGUCCACUUCAAUGCUUGGAGCUGUGGAAAUCGAAGCCUCUGCACAACCGCAUUACCAUUUGUCACAUCCAUCUCUUGAUGAAAUGGUUGAAGCUGGGCGGAUGCCUCUUCUCGGAUGUGCUAUGCUUGAUGGGGAAGGAAGAGCUUUCCAACCUUAUCCAGGUAUGACUUCAGACAGUGAAGAAAUUCCCACAACUGGCGCAUGCAAUGAGAUAGAGGAUGGAAAGGAUGUUGAAUAUGUAAAAGCCAGUUAUAAUGGAAUGGAAGAUCUAAAUGAAGGUGAAAGUGAACCUCUGAUGACCAUAAAGGAAAUGAAAGAAACUGACAAACUUGGCGAAUUACUGGACAGAUGUAAGAUUAAGCAGAAUAUGAUAGAUGAAAACUUGUCAAUAUAUUUUUAAUGCAUUACUUAUCCU
rnacentral:misc_RNA from 1 species